AUUUUCAAAGGAAACCAGCUAAUCCGUUAGCCUUAGGAGCUAAAAUCCUUGGUGCAACUCCAAGUGAAAAUA
rnacentral:tRNA from 1 species